rnacentral:rRNA from 1 species
AGAAUCAACGCUGGCGGCGUGCCUAACACAUGCAAGUCGAACGCGAAAGUCCCGCAAGGGAUCAGUAGAGUGGCAAACGGGUGAGUAACACGUGGGUGACCUGCCUUCGAGUGGGGAUAACGUCCCGAAAGGGACGCUAAUACCGCAUGACAUCCUGCCUUUGAACAGGCGGAGAUCAAAGCUGGGGAUCGCAAGACCUGGCGCUCAAAGAGGGGCCCGCGCCUGAUUAGCUAGUUGGUGGGGUAAUGGCUCACCAAGGCAACGAUCAGUA